rnacentral:misc_RNA from 1 species
GAAAUGCGAUAAGUAGUGUGAAUUGCAGAAUUCAGUGAAUCAUCGAAUCUUUGAACGCACAUUGUGCCCUUUGGUAUUCCUUAGGGCAUGCCUGUUCGAGCGUCAUCUAAACCUUCAAGCCCUGCUUGGUGUUGGGUGCCUGUCCCGCCUCCGCGCGCGGACUCACCUCAAAUCCAUUGGCGGCCCCCGCGUCGGCCACGAGCGCAGCAGAAACGCGAACUCGUGAGCCCGUCCGGGCGGCUCCCAGAAGCUACACCCACCCAGUUUGACCUCGGAUCAGGUAGAGAUACGCGCUGAACUUAAGC